AUGGAGAUGCUGGCGGGCGUGCAAGAUGGCCUGAACAUAGAGCAAGAGUAUAUCAACGCGAUGCGCACGCAGUCUAACGUGCGCUUCUUAUCAAACAAGGAAGAGAUGGAAGCCCUUCUUCAGCCUCAGCAAGAUCUCAUCCUUCCGAUGCUUCACAAAAUGGGGCAGAAAAAAUCUGCUGAAAUCAAGCUCGCAAUGUCCGGUUACUUUGAUGCCAGUGCUGAGGCCUCGGAGAUCUGCAAGCAGCUACUGAGGAAUAUCAAGAACACCGAAAGCAACUACCAAUCAAUGGACAGCUUCCUUGCAAGCAUAGGCUGUACUACUGCCCCUAGUAGUACCUCCCUUGCACUGGAAACAAUCCCGGGUAGAAGCAACCCUUUCAGCACCACCACAAGGAGCAAUUUCAGACAGAUUCAUGACAGGUACUCCUCCGUGCUCAAGACCAUCAAAUCAAGUCACAGGAAAGUGGCAAAGAAGCUCAAGAUAGUGAAAAUCAUCAAGAAGCUCUCAAGGACUUGCCUUGUCAUUGCCGGUGGUGCGGUUGCCAUUGGGAUUGCAGCACACCUGCUGGUCUUUAGCCUUCUGGUUGGAUCUGCGCUCAUGGGGCUCUGCCCUAUUGCGGUCAAGAGGAGGGUCACGAGGCUGAAACGUUCUAAGACAGAGUCUUUGCAGCAGCUGCAGGAGCAACUUGAUACUGCCGCAAAGGGCACAUAUGUUCUUGGCAGGGACUUCGACACGGUGAGCCAACUCGCCGUGCGCCUCUCUGAUGGUAUCGAGCGGGAGAAUGCAAUGGCAACAUAUUGCAUGGAGAUGGUGGAUGAGAAGUAUCCGGUGCAGGAGAUGGUGUUGGAGCUGAGGAGGAGUUGUUCCAGCUCUAGGAGAUUGGCCAUAGAGCUAGAAGAGCACGUGGGCCUGUGCCUUGCUACAAUCCAUAGAGCUAGAGUUUUGGUGAUCGAAGAGAUCUCCAAGCAAGCAUGA
rnacentral:rRNA from 1 species